AAUUCUCAAUUAUUCUUCGCAUCAUUAUCGAUGCAGGAUGGCCUAACCGUUCAUGCCAAACAACAAAGUUAUUGUGAUUCGUUAGCUUUUUAUUAACAACCACAUUUGUUUCAAUUGUUCUAAUUCUCGUGUAGUACAAACCAGAGGAAAAAGCUGGUAAUUUUUCUAAUACUCUUUUAUUACCCGAGAUUAUACUCGUAAUGUGAAGAUACUCAAUCUUUCCUUCACAUGUUGUCUCAAUAUGAUACCCAUUUCGGCGGAUAUCCUUAAAACUCAAUAAAUUUCUUUGAGACCUGGGAGAGUAUAAUGCUUCAUCAAUUUCAA
rnacentral:lncRNA from 1 species